AACGAACGCUGGCGGCAGGCUUAACACAUGCAAGUCGAGCGCCCCGCAAGGGGAGCGGCAGACGGGUGAGUAACGCGUGGGAAUCUACCCAUCUCUACGGAAUAACGCAUGGAAACGUGUGCUAAUACCGUAUACGUCCUUCGGGAGAAAGAUUUAUCGGAGAUGGAUGAGCCCGCGUUGGAUUAGCUAGUUGGUGGGGUAAAGGCCUACCAAGGCGACGAUCCAUAGCUGGUCUAAGAGGAUGAUCAGCCACACUGGGACUGAGACACUGCCCAGACUCCUACGGGAGGCAGCAGUGGGGAAUAUUGUACAAUGGGCGCAAGCCUGAUCCAGCCAUGCCGCGUGAGUGAUGAAGGCCCUAGAGUUGUAAAGCUCUUUCACCGGUGAAGAUAAUGACGGUAACCGGAGAAGAAGCCCCGGCUAACUUCGUGCCAGCCGCCGCCGUAACAC
rnacentral:rRNA from 1 species